GCGGAUGUAGCUCAAUUGGCUAGAGCAUCAGCCUUCCAAGCUGAGGGUUGCGAGUUCGAGUCUCGUCAUCCGCU
rnacentral:tRNA from 1 species